AUUGAACGCUGGCGGCAGGCCUAACACUGCAAGUCGAGCGGUAACAGGAAAGAAGCUUGCUUCUUUUGCUGACGAGCGGCGGACGGGUGAGUAAUGCCUGGGAACAUGCCUUAGUGUGGGGGAUAACCAUUGGAAACGAUGGCUAAUACCGCAUAACGUCUACGGACCAAAGAGGGGGAUCUUCGGACCUCUCGCGCUAAGAUUGGCCCAGGUGGGAUUAGCUAGUAGGUGGGGUAAAGGCUCACCUAGGCGACGAUCCCUAGCUGGUCUGAGAGGAUGAUCAGCCACACUGGAACUGAGACACGGUCCAGACUCCUACGGGAGGCAGCAGUGGGGAAUAUUGCACAAUGGGGGAAACCCUGAUGCAGCCAUGCCGCGUGUGUGAAGAAGGCCUUCGGGUUGUAAAGCACUUUCAGUUGUGAGGAAGGUUCAUGCGUUAAUAGCGUAUGGAUUUGACGUUAGCAACAGAAGAAGCACCGGCUAACUCCGUGCCAGCAGCCGCGGUAAUACGGAGGGUGCGAGCGUUAAUCGGAAUUACUGGGCGUAAAGCGCAUGCAGGCGGCUUGUUAAGCCAGAUGUGAAAGCCCGGGGCUUAACCUCGGAAUAGCAUUUGGAACUGGCAGGCUAGAGUCUUGUAGAGGGGGGUAGAAUUUCAGGUGUAGCGGUGAAAUGCGUAGAGACCUGAAGGAAUACCGGUGGCGAAGGCGGCCCCCUGGACAAAGACUGACGCUCAGAUGCGAAAGUGGGGAGCAAACAGGAUUAGAUACCCUGGUA
rnacentral:rRNA from 1 species